UUUGUCCAGGGGGCCGCCUUCGCCACCGGUAUUCCUCCAGAUCUCUACGCAUUUCACCGCUACACCUGGAAUUCUACCCCCCUCUACAAGACUCUAGCCUGCCAGUUUCGAAUGCAGUUCCCAGGUUGAGCCCGGGGAUUUCACAUCCGACUUGACAGACCGCCUGCGUGCGCUUUACGCCCAGUAAUUCCGAUUAACGCUUGCACCCUCCGUAUUACCGCGGCUGCUGGCACGGAGUUAGCCGGUGCUUCUUCUGCGGGUAACGUCAAUCGAUGAGGUUAUUAACCUCACCGCCUUCCUCCCCGCUGAAAGUACUUUACAACCCGAAGGCCUUCUUCAUACACGCGGCAUGGCUGCAUCAGGCUUGCGCCCAUUGUGCAAUAUUCCCCACUGCUGCCUCCCGUAGGAGUCUGGACCGUGUCUCAGUUCCAGUGUGGCUGGUCAUCCUCUCAGACCAGCUAGGGAUCGUCGCCUAGGUGAGCCGUUACCCCACCUACUAGCUAAUCCCAUCUGGGCACAUCUGAUGGCAAGAGGCCCGAAGGUCCCCCUCUUUGGUCUUGCGACGUUAUGCGGUAUUAGCUACCGUUUCCAGUAGUUAUCCCCCUCCAUCAGGCAGUUUCCCAGACAUUACUCACCCGUCCGCCGCUCGCCGGCAAAGUAGCAAGCUACUGUCCGCUGCCGCUCGACUU
rnacentral:rRNA from 1 species